rnacentral:rRNA from 1 species
CAAUAGCGUAUAUUAAAGUUGUUGCAGUUAAAAAGCUCGUAGUUGGAUUUCUGGUGGGAGCGAUCGGUCUGGCGCUUAGCGCGAGUACUUGCAUCGUCUCCGGCCAUCCUUGGGGAGAGUCUGUCUGGCAUUAGGUUGUCGGGCAGAGGAUCCUCAUCGUUUACUGUGAAAAAAUUAGAGUGUUCAAAGCAGGCUUAUGCCGUUGAAUAUAUUAGCAUGGAAUAAUAAGAUAGGACUUUGGUACUAUUUUGUUGGUUUGCGCACCAAAGUAAUAUUAAUAGGGACAGUUGGGGGUAUUCGUAUUCCGUUGUCAGAGGUGAAAUUCUUGGAUUUACGGAAGACGAACUACUGCGAAAGCAUUUACCAAGGAUGUUUUCAUUAA